rnacentral:lncRNA from 1 species
UUGCCAGUAGUCAUAUGCUUGUCUCAAAGAUUAAUCCAUGCAUGUGUAAGUAUGAACAAAUUCAGACUGUGAAACUGUGAAUGGCUCAUUAAAUCAGUUAUAACAGGCGAUGCCGGCGUCAAUGAGGAAUGCUGCCAGGUUGAUCCUGCCAGCAUUCAUAUGCUUGUCUCAUAGAUUAAGCCAUGCAUGUGUAAGUAUGAACAACUUUAGAGUGUGAAACAUCGAAUGGCUCAUUAAAUCUAUUAUAGUUUGUUUGAUGGUAUCUACUACUCGGAUAACUGUAGUCAUUCUAGAGCUAAUACGUGCGAUAAACCCCGACUUCUGGAAGGGAUGCAUUUAUAGAUAAAAGGUCUACGCGGCACUGCCCUUUGCUGCGAUGGUUCAUGAUAACUCAACGGAUCGCACGGCCAUCGUGCUAGUGACGCAUCAUUCAAAUUUUUGCCCUAUCAAUUUUCGAUGGUAGGAUAGUGGCCUACCUUGGUGGUGACAGGUGAUGGAGAAUUAGGGUUCGAUUCCGGAGAGGGAGACUGAGAAACGGUUACCACAUCCAAGGAAGGCAGCAGGCGCGCAAAUUACCCAAUCCUAACAUGGGGAGGUAGUGACAAUAAAUAACAAUACCGGGCUUUAUGAGUCUGGUAAUACGAACGGUGGAGCGUCAUGCAAGUAGCGCCGCAAGGUGCCAUGCGCAUGUGGCGAAGCUCAGUACUUGUUGAUCCCCAUUGGAUGUUGUGAGCAAAAUCGGGAGGCGACAUCGCUCGUGGCGGCAAAUAGCAUUUGACAACAAACCGGCAAAACGUCGUGCAAGUAGCGCCGCAAGGUUCUGUGCGCAUGGGGCGAAGAAUAUUAUGUUGUUGAUUGCCAUUGGUUGUUGUGGGUUGUGUUUGGAAUAUCUCGUGGCGGCUGAUAGCUUUCGACAACAAACGGUGGAGCGUCGUGCAAGUAGCGCCUCAAGGUGCCGAGUGCAUGGGGUGAAGCUCAGUAAAUGUCGAUUACCAUCGGUUGUUGCAGGCAACAUCGCUCAUGGCGGUUGAUGGCUUUCGGCAGUGGCGGCUGAUGGUUUUUGGCAACACGGGAGGCGAUAUCGCUCCUUGCGGGCAACAUCAGGAGGCGACAUUGCUCGUGGCGGCUGAUGGUUUUUGGCAACAAAAUGACAAAGCAUCGUGCAAGUAGCGCCGCAAGGUGCUGCGCGCAUGGUGCAAAGCUUAGUAAGUUGCCGAUUGCCAUCGGUUUUUGCAGGAAAAAAUCAGGAGGCGACAUCGCUCGUGGCGGUUGAUGGCUUUUAGCAACCAAUGCCCAAGCAUCAUGCAAGUAGCGCCGUAAGGUGCCGUGCUCACGGGGCAAAGCUUAGUAAGUUGCUGAUUGCCAUCAGCUGUUGCGGGAAACAUCAGAAGGCGACAUCGCUCGUGGCAGCUGGUGGUUUUUCGCAAUGGAACGGCAAAGCAUCGUGCAAGUAGCGCCGCAAGGUGCCAUGCAUAUGGGGCGAAGCUCAAUAAAUUGCCUACUGCCAUCGGUUGUUGUGGGUUGUGUCUAGCAUUGUUCAAACCCCCUAUUCGUGAUUUGCGGGGCUUGUCUUGGCUUUGCAACGUUCGCAUCGGCAACAACACAUGGCUGCGCGUCACGUGUUAGAGCUGGUGUUGGCUUUGUAUCGAUGAGGCGUGUACGUGUGGCAGAUGAGUGGUUUUCCGCUUGUGUGGCUAGGUUGGAUCCCUGCUCGAGCACCGACGUUGUAGCUCGCAUGCCAUCUCAGUAAUGUCACAAGCACAAAUUUAGGCUUGUUCGAUGUCGGUUUUCUGUGUUGCAUACCUAAUGCUAAGGCAUUAUCAAGAACAAUUGGUCGCCUUUCGCCCCUCACGUUCGACGUGCGGGUAGAACCAAAAGUUGCAUUGUGCCCUAGGUCGUCCUGGCUUCGCCUUGCAAUGGCUUGGUCCACGUCUUAGCAUGCUCGGGCUAUCGGAUACGGUAAACGCAAUGGGCAUUGGGCCUUCAUUGGCUCCUAGCUGCCCAAAGAAUGCUCCUUAAGAAUGAUGGUCGUGCGCGCCUUGGACUUGGCCAUGCCCUUUUGGAUCGGCCACGCUCAUGCGACGCCGGCAUCAAUGAGAAAUGCUACCUGGAUUAUCCUGCUAGUAGUCAUAUGCUUAUCUCAAAGAUUAAGCCAUGCAUUUGUGAGUAUGAACAAAUUCAGACUGUGAAACUGCGAAUGGCUCAUUAAAUCAGUUAUAGUUUGUUUGAUGGUAUCUACUACUCGGGUAACCGUAGUAAUUCUAGAGCGAAUAAGUGCAACAAACCCCGACUUCUGGAAGGGAUGCAUUUAUUAGAUAAAAGGUCGACGCGGGCUCUGCCGUUGUUGCGAUGAUUCAUGAUAACUCGACGGAUCGCACGGCCAUUGUGCCGGUGACGCAUCAUUCAAAUUUCUGCACUAUCAAAAUUCGAUGGUAGGAUAGUGGC